CAGAGUGAGUUCCAGGACUGCCAGCCAGGAAGAAACCCUGUCUCAAAAACAGCCAACAAAGGGGGAGGGGAAAAGGGUGAAUUUUAGUGUAUAUAAAUAUCAUAGGUGGAGUCCCUUGUGUAGUUUACUUUUGCUUUAUGUGUAGAAUUAAUGCAGCAUUGGAUUUUUAAAUUUAAUGUUCUUUAUUGUCAUGUCUCCUAUAGAGAUCACAAACUGAACUCUUCAACCCUUUUUCAUAGGCCUUUUAGCGGAUUUUCCACUAGAUGAAAGGUCAACACUAUUUGGUACACAGUCAUACAGCUAUUUCCUAAAAUAAUUUUUCUUCAGAACUGGUACUGAGAAAACAAUGUAUUUGUCAUGGAAGUUCCCAAAGACUUGCAAAUGAUGGAAGUGACUUUGGUGCCAAAUAAGCAAUACUGGGACCUAGAAGCCACUGUUCACUCCUAUCAAGAUAUCAGUCCUACACGACCAAUAACUCCCAAAAAACCAACUGACUGGAUCAUGAUGAACUAACAUUGAAGGCACAAAACAGACUUGCUUUGCAUCAACUUAGUUAUCAAUUCAGAGUAAAUAAAACAAUUCCUAUGCCUAAAUGAUCCGUCUCAACUUCUGAAAAAGCUGAGACUAAGCACCCCAAAUUUAAUAAAACUCAGCUGUACAUAGUGAUAUGUGCCAGCCUUGCCUACAUAGCAAAUUCAAAGCCAGUCUAGACUACAGGAGACCCUAUCUCAAGAAAGAACAAUUUUAUUUAGUUUUGGUUCUUCAAGAUUCCUAUGUUAGGCUGUAGAGAUGGCUUAGUGGUUAAGAGCACUAGCUGUUCUUCCAGAGGUCCUGAGUUCAAUUCCCAGCCACCACAUGGUGGCUCAAAAAUAUCUGUAAUGAAACCUGGCACCCUCUGCUGGCCUGCAGGCAUACAUGCAGGCAUAACACUGCAUACAUAAUAAAACUU